GAUGAACGCUAGCGGCAGGCUUAACACAUGCAAGUCGUGGGGCAGCGCGAGGUAGCAAUACUUUGGCGGCGACCGGCAAACGGGUGCGGAACACGUACGCAACCUUCCUCAGAGCGGGAAUAGCCUCUCGAAAGAGAGAUUAAUACCCCAUAGUAUCUCGAAACUGCAUGGUUUGAGAUUAAAGCUUCGGCACUUUGAGAUGGGCGUGCGGCUGAUUAGGUAGUUGGUAGGGUAACGGCCUACCAAGCCAACGAUCAGUAGCUGAUGUGAGAGCAUGAUCAGCCACACGGGCACUGAGACACGGGCCCGACUCCUACGGGAGCAGCAGUGAGGAAUAUUGGUCAAAUGGAGGAAACUCUGAACCAGCCAUGCCGCGUGAAGGAUGAAGGUCCUCUGGAUUGUAAACUUCUUUAUAGAAGAAGAAACCCCAUUAUCUUAAUGGGUUGACGGUACUCUAUGAAUAAGCAACCGGCUAAACUCCGUGCCAGCAG
rnacentral:rRNA from 1 species